GAACUGGCCCCUGGGAUUUGCUGCUCAGAACCUGAGUUCACUGAGACAUCAGGAGCAAGCACUGGAGGCCGGGUGCUGCUGGACCCAGAUGGGAGCCAUGCAGGACUUGACCAUGGCCUGCACACACUUCUUCCCAGGAGAAGGGGAAUGAGGAAGAACUAGAUCCUAAGAGCAGAAGACAAUCAUAUGUCCUGAGAACCCAUUGGAGGUUGAACAGCGCUGGGUGGAUGGAGAAAGGCAGAAAUGCAGAAUUUCGUCAUUGCCUGGAUGCUGACUUUAUCCAAAGAGAAGAUGCAUGAGGAGUGUACAUGCCUCAGAACUGGAUGCUGAGACAUGCCCCCGCGAUCCCAAGACCACCAGGUACCGUGAGCAAUCACUGGAGCUGGAACACUGCUGCCUGAGGAAGAGAAGAAGUGCAGGCUUGUCAUUGUCUAUGCUGUUACUUGUGGUUCCCGGGUCUUCAGAGAGGAUGCACAAGAACGGGAGAACCGGCCCCUGGGAUUUGCUGCUCAGGACCCGAGUUCACUGAGACAUCAGGAGCAAGCACUGGAGGCCGGUGCUGCUGGAUCCAGAUGGGAGCCAUGCAGGACUUGACCAUGGCCUGCACACACUUCUUCCCAGGAGAAGGGGAAUGAGGAAGGCAGACUGGCAUCACAGGACCCUUCAGAGUAUUAAUGCAGACCUUCGUGACAGAGGUCCAGUACCAAGUGCUCAGCGGUGCUAAGGUCCAGGGACAGGAGGCAGAAGGGCGGGUUCCAGCCCGCUCAGCUGGCCAUGGUAAAAUACUAGCUGGUGUCCUAGGGCAGCAAGGCGCCUCCCUCUCCAGGUUAUGAAAACAUUGCAGUCUGAGUUUCUGUUGGGACCUGAGAAGAAGUCAAGGAAGCCCUGCAAGGCACUCACAGCUGCUCCUGCUGUCUGUAAUCGGCCGCCAUCUUCCUUCAUUCUCUGGUGACUGAGGUCCAGGAACAGGAAGCAGAGGGGCAGGUUCCACCCCGCUCAGCUGGCCAUGAACCGGCCCCUGGGAUUUGCUGCUCAGGACCCGAGUUCAGUGAGACAUCAGGAGCAAGCACUGGAGGCCGGUGCUGCUGGACCCAGAUGGGAGCCAUGCAGGACUUGACCAUGGCCUGCACACACUUCUUCCCAGGAGAAGGGGAAUGAGGAAGAACUGGACCAGAAGAUUUAACUUCCAUACCACAAGCACUGGGGUAGAAGACUGCUGCUGGGUGAAGAAGAGACUAGACUUGAUCAUUGAGCAGCCACUCACUGAUAUCUUCAGUGCUGCAUGAGGAAGCAGAGUUUAUUCUUCUGGAUUUGGUGGUGGAUUCUGGUGAAGAUACAGAUGGAUGCUCUGGCUGAGUCGCUACCUUGAAAUGAAAAUGGGAGGACUGGCCCCUGGGAUUUUCUGCUCAGGACCCGAGUUCACUGAGACAUCAGGAGCAAGCACUGGAGGCCGGUGCUGCUGGACCCAGAUGGGCGCCAUGCAGGACUUGACCAUGGCCUGCACACACUUCUUCCCAGGAGAAGGGGAAUGAGGAAAGUGGGGGGCCUCAAAGCUUCCUUUCCUUUCUGUUUGUCUUGCUAUGUUUUUAUAUUCCUUUUUAUCCAUUUAAUUAUUUAGUACAAAAUCAGGUCCAGUCUCCUUAGAUAUGGCAUUGAUAUAAAGUGUAAAAUGGAAGCUAAAUUCUAGGAGUACAGCAUUGCAUGCUUCUGACAGAGACAAGGAAGGCUAGAAUCACACAGUUAGUGGACACUGCAACUAUAUUGACAUUUUUUUUUUUUUAGACUGUGAAGGUGGGGACAGAUUGCUGCACUCAGAACACCUUCCCUGCUCUGGGGAAACAAACACUGUCAUCAUGGGGAAAAUGUUUCCUGUAGACCCACACAAGCACACACCCCUCCUCCUACAUCCAGCUUCUCCUCAGCCAUUUUGAAGCAGGGAAGAUCAGGGGGAUUCAUGAAUGGCGAAAUUUGGCCUUUUUUAGUGUAUUUCUCUCCUUCUGUAGGCAGACUGGCAUCACCUGACCCUUCAGAGUAUUAACUCAGACCCUGGUGACUGAGGUCCAGUACCAAGUGCUCAGCUGGGCUGCGGUGCAGGGACAGGAAGCAGAAGGGCAGAUUCAACCCCCCUCAGCUGGCCAUGCUAAUCUACUAGCUGGUGUCCUAGGGCAGCAAGGCGCCUCCCUCUCCAGGAUCUGAUGAGAAAACACUGCAGUUCCAGUUUCUUUCGGGGCUUGAAGAGAAGUCAAGGAAGCCCUGCAAGGCACUCACAGCUGAUCAUGCUUUCUGUAAUCGCCCUCCAUCUUCCUUCAUUGCUAGGAAUCAUUGGAAGGACAACAGCGGAGCUGUGAGUUUUGAAACCGCGUCCUCAUGGGGGCAGUAGAGGUCCACACAAGAGCUUAACUGGCCCCUGGGAUUUGCUGCUCAGAACCUGAGUUCACUGAGACAUCAGGAGCAAGUACUGGAGGCCGGUGCUGCUGGACCCAGAUGGGAGCCAUGCGGGACUUGACCAUGGCCUGCACACACUUCUUCCCAGGAGAAGGGGAGUGAGGAAGAACCGGCCCCUGGGAUUUGCUGCUCAGGACCCGAGUUCACUGAGACAUCAGGAGCAAGCACUGGAGGCCGGGUGCUGCUGGACCCAGAUGGGAGCCAUGCAGGACUUGACCAUGGCCUGCACACACUUCUUCCCAGGAGAAGGGGAAUGAGGAAGAAAGGCUCAUGGCGUCUAUGUCGUAAAUGAGCUGUGGAUUUGCUAUGCCCCUUCUCUUCAGCAACCCUUAUUUUUCUUGCCUGUACAUCUCUACUGUGGGAAUCACAGGGAAGCUGCUGCAGCACAACUUGAAAUAGAAAGCUGGAUGGUAUGAAUUUAGGACAAGAACAUGAGAAGAAGGGCUCCAGAGAGGAUUCAUUAAGAGCAUUUUCUGCUCUUCCAGAAGCAUCCGAGUUUGGUGUGGGCACCCAAGUCAUUAGGCUCAGAGCUGCUUGGCACCAGGAGAUGUCAGGAAGCUGGUAUAAAUCCUCAUGGGACUUGAAGGGCGAGUGGCCUGAAGUGGGUCACAAGUGAUCAGGGAUUCUCAAACUGCUGUUCCCAGCUUGCAUUUAAAAAUGGGAAAUAACUCAAAAGACAAUUGCAAACUCUCUGCAGUCAAGAUGGCUCCUGCUUGUAAUCUCAGUGUUCAGAAGUACUAUACCUGCUGGAUCCAGAACUGCGGCAGGGUAAGACCAGCCAGGACAAGCCAGUGCCAGGUGGCACAGGUGUUUGGAAAAGGCCUGACGUGUACCCAACUGUGUGAAGGAAUGGGGGACCCAAAACACAGGGCAAAGAAUUAUGCUUCCAUCCACGAGAGCAAAGGUCUGGAUCCCCUAGGGUUGCCACCAGGAUCACCAGAAAGUUUGUUAAAUAGAGAAGCACUUGAUAGAAGGCACCUGGAUAAGGAUGGACAGAAAUCAGAGGCCUUGGCUAUCUGGAUUCUGACUUCUUCAAAAAGAUGAGAUGAUAGAUGAGAAAAGCCCGUCCGUGGUGUUAGAGACUUUGGCCCCACACCCAUGCCGUGCAGCUCUGCCAGGGCCUACCUGCUUGACUCAACCCUUUUUGUUCCCUCACCCUCUCUGGGUAACUGAGAGAUUUAUACCUUGGCUAUCCUGGGAAUGUCUUUCUAAACUAAUAAAAUUGUUCUUGAGUUUCCUUCUGAGUCAUUUCGUAAAUUAUUGUAUUAAUGAGACUAAGAACCUUUAGAAGGGCUCCCAGUUUCCCUGGCAGCAUGUGAUGUUCAAGAUGGGCUCCCC
rnacentral:lncRNA from 1 species